rnacentral:lncRNA from 1 species
UUGCUAUAAAUCCAACCUAUGACAAAUGUUUAUAGUUAUGUUAUAUAGACAACAUUCGAAGAGUUUCCUAAAAAGUAAAAUCACAAAAAUACUGAACUUAGAGGAAGAUCAAUUGGGAAAGUCCAUAAUCACAUGGCAAAAUCAAAUAACAAAACGCAUAAAAAACGAAUGGACAAAAACUGUCAUAUUCCUGACUUGGUACAGGCAUUUUCAAAUGUAGAAAAUGGUGGAUUAAACCUGGUUCUAUAGCGCUAACCCUCUCACUUUAAUGACAGUCUCAUCAAUUUCCGAUAUUUUUACAUUGAUGCGUUAAAUAAACAGACACA